rnacentral:lncRNA from 1 species
ACAGUCCAAUUUCCAGUGGGGUCCCCGCACAGAUGGGACACGGCUUAGGAGGAAUCCUGGGCUGCAGGCAUUCCUUGGCCUGGUGGUCAGAUUUCUGGCACUUGUAGCAAGCUCCUGGGGGAGGAGGUUCUGGAGGAACGCCUGGGCACUUCGGUUUAGGCGUUUGGAAGUUCUUGUGUGCUGGAGAUGUGGCUGGGGUUU